GGGCAGAGAGGCCUUAGUGCGGAGUCACAUGCCAUUCCCAUUCACAGCUAAAGCCCCGCUGCCCCAGGCAAACACAGAGCCUGUCAGCGUCCUGCAGCUCACCUUGCAGAGAUGGGACCAAAAUAGCUUCACAACUUCACAACGCCACUAAAAAUAGCUUGCAGCUGUUCUGCAUUUAUGAUCUGAUCUGCACGCUGAGUCAACGUCGCUGUAACGACAUGGAUGGAGGGCAGAGGUCCGCAGGUUUGCUUUGAGGAAGCCCCAUAAACAGGGUAAUAGCACCAGAGUUACUGUUCUCUUGAACUAAAGGGAGAGAAAGUAAGCUGCCAAUCAAAAAGAACAUCUCGUGGCACAGGCAGAUGUUUCUGAUGGCGAUGCCGGAGCCAGCAGAACCCCUGCAGCAGUGCAGCCCCAUGGUGCUGGAGGCCCUUCCAGACUGGAGGUGUGGCGGUGGUCUGCAUGUCAGCAGAGCAGUCCCAGCAGCGUUCAGCAUGGAUGAGGUAUUGAACGCAUCCCCGUGCCUCUGGGGGGCAACGUGGCUUCUGCUGACGUGUGAACACUCUGCUUGGCAGCCUGGUGCAGCACAUCACAGCUCAGAUGGGUUCUCCCAGGCGGCUGUGCAGCACAGAGCUAAUACAUGGAAUACAGGCUCAGCACCGUGAGUCAGCACUGCCGGAGCCCAGACUUGUUUGCAGCAGCAGCGAGGCGGUGCGGGAGGUGUGGGCUGCGGGAGCCCUUCUGCCCAAACGCCAUCCGGGAUGAAAUGGGGCUAACAGGGAGCAAAAGGCUGAACGGUGCUCGUGGACUCGUUCUGCACCGACCUGCCAGUCUGCAGGCCCCAAAAAUACAGGCACGGCCCAAAGGUUUCUAUUCAGGGCUCAGCAGUGGAAUAAGGAACAUGAGCCGUGGGAUAUCCCGUGUCACCGCAGGCUGCUCAGCCUGGAAGGGGCUGGUGGCAAAGGGAGGAAACGUCAGAAACGCCAUGGACUAUUUUAGAUCUGCAACCUCAGUUCUGCAAAGGACAGCCUGCUGAUGUGCCACGCUCAGCGAGCAGCGGGGAGGAACCCCACGGCAGGAAGAGAGGUUUGCAAGUUUCCCUUUCCCAUAGAGCACAUCCCAAACUGCUGCACGACAGCAUGCUGUGCAGUGCUGUGCUGCGUGGUGUCCUGUCAGCCUGCUGGGAGGACACGGAGUGCUCCAGCAGUGGGCAAUGUGGGAGCAGGCUGUGAGCUGCACAGCCCAGCAUACAGCACGGUGUGAGGCUGGAACUCCCAGUGCCCUCAGCACGUCUCCGUGCUGCGUCCCUGGCUGUGCAGCUCGGCCUGGAGGGCCCGGGGCUGUGAGCUCAUGGGUUUCUAUUUAUGCUUUCAUCUGGUUUUGCCUGCUUUGGACGGUUAACGUAACGCACACGCAGGGUGGUGCUUCAAGGAGACAAACAGUUGCUUCAUCUCCCUGUACAGACAGCCCUCUGCCCUUUGCGUUUCGAUUCCCGGUGUCUGUGUGUGUGGAGGUGAUUUGUCCAUAAUUGUUUGCUUUCUCCGGAGUCCUUUGAAGCGUCUGUCUCCCAACCGGUCCCCUCUUAAGAAUAAAUGC
rnacentral:lncRNA from 1 species